rnacentral:rRNA from 1 species
AUCAAUCGCUCGCGGCAGGUCUACCACAAGCAAGUUGAACGAGAGGCGGACGGGUGAGUAAUGUCCGGGAAACCUCCUGAUGGAGGGGGAUAGCUACUGGAAACGGUAGCUAAUACCGCAUUCCAUCGGAUGUGCCAACAUGGGAGUAGCUAGGAGGUGGGGUAAAGGCUCACCUAGGCGACGAUCCCUAGCUGGUCGGAGAGGAUGACCAGCCACACUGGGACUGGGACAGCGUCCAGACUCCUACGGUAGGCAGCAGUGGGGAAUAUUGCACAGUGGGCGCAAGCCUGAUGCAGCCAUGCCGCGUGUAUGAAGAAGGCCUUCGGGUUGUAAAGUACUUUCAGCGGGGAGGCGUUACCCGCAGAAUAAGCACCGGCUAACUCCGUGCCAGCAGCCGCGGUAAUAC